GGGCACGCCGCGUGUGUGAAGAAGGCUUUCGGAUCGUAAAGCUCUGUUGUAUGAGAAGAACGGCUGUGAUAGUGAAUGAUUCUAGUUGUGCCGGUCCCUAACCGAAAGGGGCCGGUUAAUUCCUGCCCACCACCCCGGUAAUUCCUUUGUUCCGAACCUUUGUCCGAAUUAUUGGGCCUAAAGCCAACCCCAAGCGGUUAUUAAAUUUGAAGUUAAAGCGCGGAGCUUAACUCCGGAAUGGCUUUGGAAACUGGUUAACUUGAGUGCUGAAGAGGAAAGUGGAACUCCAUGUGUAGCGGUGAAAUGCGUAGAUAUAUGGAAGA
rnacentral:rRNA from 1 species